rnacentral:rRNA from 1 species
CCCUUAGAUGUUCUGGGCCGCACGCGCGCUACACUGACGGAGUCAACGAGUUGUCCUGCAUCGGAAGGUGUGGGUAAUCUUUUGAAACUUCGUCGUGCUGGGGAUAGAUCUUUGCAAUUUUCGAUCCUGAACGAGGAAUUCCUAGUAAGCGUGAUUCAUCAGAUCGCGUUGAUUACGUCCCUGCCCUUUGUACACACCGCCCGUCGCUACUACCGAUUGAAUGGUUUAGUGAGGCCUCGGGACUGGCGCGCUCGAGUAGCAAUACACCUGCGCGCCGGGAACUUGGUCAAACUUGAUCAUUUAGAGGAAGUAAAAGUCGUAACA